GGCUCAGGAUGAUGAGCUAGCUGAUUGAUUCCUUAAUCUUGGGAACAUAAGUAAGCAGAAGGAAUGUGGUGUUCAGCAUAGCAGGUAAUCUGAGCAUGACGUGGCCACCAUGACCAUGUGUAAACUGCAUGCAAAGCCUGACUGCUAGGAGAACUGGAAGCAGGAAUACAGAGAGGUCACAGUGGUCCACAGAAGCCAACAGAGGGUAGCCUCUGUUCUUUUUGGUUUCCCAGUUUUUGAUCCUAGGAGGCAUGACUGUUCUUUGCUCUUUUGCUCCAAGAAUCCCCUCUAUUUGAGAUCUCCCCUCCUGAACUGGGAGUUGCUUGGGUAGAAAAUCCUGGUAUCAAAUUCUGAAACCAUGGCUAAUGGCUGCAAACUUGCUUUUCAAGUCCAGUCUAUCCUUUCAAGAGGUCAAGAAAGUCCACUCUGAGAUUUUAAGUUGAUCAAUAGUGUCUUUGUUUGAGGCUAUAUCCUCUUCUAGAGCAAUAAUUCAAGGCUCAAAUUGGUGGAAAAAAGCUGAAAGGAUUUAAAGAGGUAAUUAAGCACAUUGUUUUAAUAUUUGCAAAAUAAUGUCCAUGGUUAUGUUAAUUUACAUGAAUG
rnacentral:lncRNA from 12 species